ensembl:lncRNA
GAGACAGCAUCAAAACAGACAAGAGAGGAGGUGAAAUUCCCUGGCUUCCCCCGUCUUCCCACCCUCCACUCUUCUGUUUAUGCCUUCCUUCGGUUCAGCCUAUGUGGAAGCCAGAGGGCAAGGGAACUGGAAAAUGCAGUCCCCUGUGAUAGACAGCAGAGCAGGGAAAAGGCCAGAGCAACCAGGGACAUCACCAGCACAUUCCCUUUUUUGAAGAUAAUGUUGGGAUGGGUUUGAAGAGGAAAGCCAAAUCGCUAUGGAAUUCUUCAUUGAUAUGGAGUGGGAAAUGGAGAUGAAACAAAGAUAAAUAACCCGCACCUCUGCCUACUUUCCUUACUCAAGUCUUUGAUGAUAUCAUCUUUUCAGAAGAGGCAGGUGCGGCACCUCUGGAACCUACAUUAAAUCUCCCAGCAGUACUUCAACUUAAAGGAAUGAGGAAGAUGGGGAUUUCAGACAUUUUGGUAUUACUACUGGACUUGGGACACAGUAUGAAGGCAAAGACUCAUGGCUAGGCUGCUGUGUUGUCUAUGGUGCUUUUGGCUCUAAGUGUCAGAAAACCCAAUUCAAACUGGCUUAAACAAUGAGAAAAUGUAUUAUUUCAUGGAACAGAAGCCCAGAGGAAGGACAGCUACAAAAUUGGUUGAAUCAGUGAUUUAUUGAUGUCAUAAGGAACCCAGGUUCUUUUUUGCCUUUUGAUUUUGUUGUCCACAGCAUUGACUUCACCUAAGGCUGGUUGCCCUAUGGUCAAUAAUAGCAAACUGAAGCAAGGGGCACAUAUGUUCUUCUUUGUUGCUACCCAGCCAGAAAGAGAAAUGCUCCUAUCCUCUUCCAUUCUUUCUGAGCCAAAUUAGGUCACAUGUUCAUGCCUGGAGGGUGGAGGGGAAGAUAACCAGGGCAAUGUCACAUGUUGCUUGUCUUAGAAAAAAACAAGAUUCCUAGAGUUGGAGACGGGGUAAAUUUCUCCUGAGUCAAUCCUACGGCUAACUAAGGAAUUUAAUAACUGAAUAAAGUCAGCCUUUGGUUAGCAAGGAGGAUGAAGUUUGAUGAGAAAACAACCGACAGUGUCUACUAUACAGCACGUAUUCAGCUGAAGCACAAUCACAUCUGCCAACUUGAUUAUUUCUGCUACACUUUUCCUGGGGAUCCUUCCACAAAGACAAUGUAUUGAGAUGGUAAAAUUCAUACUCUCCGUUGCAUCAUGAGUUUCAAUCUUAAUUCUGAAAUCUGUUCAUGAGCAAGUUGUUUCAAAUCUUGAGAGACUAGAUAUACAAAUGGACAAUGGCCAGACCAUACAUAGAAAAUAAAAUUCUGACCCACAACCCAAGGAAACCAGUCCAGAAAGUCAGUCUACUAUCUACAGUAACCAGUUCAGGAAGUCAGACUACUAUGUCUAGCAGGCAGUCCUUGAAAUAAACAAUAACUCCCAUUGGCCCAAAAUGGCCAGGGCUUGAUUAAUAACUGACAACUUCUACAUUUUUGCCCCUCACCCACCUUGGCUUCCAACUUAGGACCAACUAGAGAAAGCCGACUACGUACAUCUGAACAAUCACAUAGGAUGCCCCACUUCUAGUUAUCUCACCUGCAGCUUCCCCAUGCCAACAGCCUCCAGUUGGGGUGCACCUGAAGCCUUCCCUUUCUUCUGCUAUAAAACUUUCCCACUCCUCUGCCUGCUAGAAUCUCUGCCCAGUGCAAGUGAUGGUGGCCAACUUCCUCACUGUAGCAAGUUCUCAAUAAACAGUCUUUGCUUG